rnacentral:rRNA from 1 species
AGUGAACGCUGGCGGUAGGCCUAACACAUGCAAGUCGAACGGCAGCACAGUAAGAGCUUGCUCUUACGGGUGGCGAGUGGCGGACGGGUGAGGAAUACAUCGGAAUCUACUUUUUCGUGGGGGAUAACGUAGGGAAACUUACGCUAAUACCGCAUACGACCUACGGGUGAAAGCAGGGGAUCUUCGGACCUUGCGCGAUUGAAUGAGCCGAUGUCGGAUUGGCUAGUUGGCGGGGUAAAGGCCCACCAAGGCGACGAUCCGUAGCUGGUCCGAGAGGAUGAUCAGCCACACUGGAACUGAGACACGGUCCAGACUCCUACGGGAGGCAGCAGUGGGGAAUAUUGGACAAUGGGCGCAAGCCUGAUCCAGCCAUACCGCGUGGGUGAAGAAGGCCUUCGGGUUGUAAAGCCCUUUUGUUGGGAAAGAAAAGCAGCAGGUUAAUACCCCGCUGUUCUGACGGUACCCAAAGAAUAAGCACCGGCUAACUUCGUG